AUCUACGGCCAUACCACCCUGAAUGCGCCCAAUCUCAUCUGUUCUCGGAAGCUAAGCAGGGUUGGGCCUGGUUAGUACUUGGAUGGGAGACCAUCUGGUAAUAAAUAUGUAUUCCCUGUGAAUU
ensembl:rRNA 5S_rRNA 5S ribosomal RNA